rnacentral:ribozyme from 1 species
AAAAGUCUCUAGCCUUUCAAACUCUGACUUUCCACCCACCUUCCAAUAUCUUUUUUUUCUUACUUCUCUUUUUUCUCCUCAUUUCUUUCUUCGUGCAGGCGGAGAACGCU